UGAUUAAGCCAUGCGAGUCAUAUGUUCUUCGUGAACAUGGCGUACUGCUCAGUAACACGUGGAUAACCUGCCCUUGGGACCGGGAUAACCCCGGGAAACUGGGGAUAAUACCGGAUAACGCAUAUCUGCUGGAAUGCUUUAUGCGUAAAAUGGAUUUGUCUGCCCAAGGAUGGGUCUGCGGCCUAUCAGGUAGUAGUGGGUGUAAUGUACCUACUAGCCUACGACGGGUACGGGUUGUGAGAGCAAGAGCCCGGAGAUGGAUUCUGAGACAUGAAUCCAGGCCCUACGGGGCGCAGCAGGCGCGAAAACUUUACAAUGCGGGAAACCGUGGUAAGGGGACACCGAGUGCCAGCAUCAUAUGUUGGCUGUCCAGAUGUGUAAAAUACAUCUGUUAGCAAGGGCCGGGCAAGACCGGUGCCAGCCGCCGCGGUAACACCGGCGGCCCGAGUGGUGAUCGUGAUUAUUGGGUCUAAAGGGUCCGUAGCCGGUUUGGUCAGUCCUCCGGGAAAUCUGACGGCUCAACCGUUAGGCUUUCGGUGGAUACUGCCAGACUUGGAACCGGGAGAGGUAAGAGGUACUACAGGGGUAGGAGUGAAAUCUUGUAAUCCCUGUGAGACC
rnacentral:rRNA from 1 species